GGUUGAAAGUUCCUUAAAGAGGCAGUAGGGCACUGUGCGCCAGCCCUGGUUGAAAGUUCCUUAAAGAGGCAGUAGGGCACUGUGCGCCAGCCCAGGUUGAAAGUUCCUUAAAGAGGCAGUAGGGCACUGUGCGCCAGCCCUGGUUGAAAGUUCCUUAAAGAGGCAGUAGGGCACUGUGCGCCAGCCCUGGUUGAAAGUUCCUUAAAGAGGCAGUAGGGCACUGUGCGCCAGCCCUGGUUGAAAGUUCCUUAAAGAGGCAGUAGGGCACUGUGCGCCAGCCCUGGUUGAAAGUUCCUUAAAGAGGCAGUAGGGCACUGUGCGCCAGCCCAGGUUGAAAGUUCCUUAAAGAGGCAGUAGGGCACUGUGCGCCAGCCCAGGUUGAAAGUUCCUUAGUCCCCAUUGUCAUCUCUGACUGACUCGCAGGCCGAGUUAGUUUCAGUGUCAGUGACAGCAUUGACGUCUUCUUUCUCCUCGGUCGUUUCACAGCGAUUAGACUGAGUUUAAUCCAAACUGACAGAUGAUGCGCGUCUCGUCAUUUUUUCGGCUCUGCUCGGCUCUGUUCGGCUCAGAGCCCAGAUAGAUAGAGAGACAGACAGAACCGUCAGUCUCCUCCCCCCUCCUCAUCUUCGUCCUCCUCCUUCUCUUCCUCCUCCUCGUUGAUAGUGACACUAGCUGGUUUUGGCCUUAAGUAGGGGGCGGAAUGAGCUGGUCUCAUCCACAGUCGCCCCGCCUCAUCUUCCUUGUCCAAUCAGCUCUUUGUGGCCACUAGCUGCUAAUUGGUCCUGUUUACUGCGGUGUGACUAGUCUGCUUCCUCGAGAGCAUGCAGUGCAGGCUUUUUCUCUAGCCCUGCGCUAAACACACCUGAUUUUACCUAAUCAGCUGCUGCUCAUCAGGACCGUGAUUGGCUGAUUCACACUUCAUUCUACCAAUCAUCAGGAUUGUGAUUGGUUCAGAUGAAUCGUGUUCGUUAGGAAAAAGAACCUGGAGGAGUGUUGCUGGGUCCACCAGGGUUCUCCAAUGCUGUUCCUGGAGGAACGUUACUGGGUCCACCAGGGUUCUCCAAUGCUGUUCCUGGAGGAACGUUACUGGGUCCACCAGGGUUCUCCAAUGCUGUUCCUGGAGGAACGUUACUGGGUCCACCAGGGUUCUCCAAUGCUGUUCCUGGAGGAACGUUACUGGGUCCACCAGGGUUCUCCAAUGCUGUUCCUGGAGGAACGUUACUGGGUCCACCAGGGUUCUCCAAUGCUGUUCCUGUGGGGAACGUUACUGGGUCCACCAGGGUUCUCCAAUGCUGUUCCUGGAGGAACGUUACUGGGUCCACCAGGGUUCUCCAAUGCUGUUCCUGGAGAGCUACCGUCCCCAGUUGUAACUAACCUUCAGUUUAUCAGCUUAUCAACCAGCUCAUUAUUAGAAUCAGGUGUUCUAGAUUAGGGUUGGCAAUGAAACCUACAAGACGGUAGCUCUCUGGCCUUGGUAUAUACUGUGGACUGGACACAGGGAUGCUCUGUUAUCUGUGGUCUCUACUCUCUCUAUCACCUCUCUGUUUUGCCUGUGGUCUCUACUCUCUCUAUCACCUCUGUUGUCUGUGGUCUCUACUCUCUCUAUCACCUCUCUGUUAUCUGUGGUCUCUACUCUAUCACGUCUCUGUUAUCUGUGGUUUCUACUCUCUCUAUCACCUCUUCAUCUUCACUGACGUUUGUGCAACUUAAACAAUGUGUGGCGUUAUUUUAACAGCUUGUUUUAACAUUGGAGAUUGAUGUAUAUGUUUACAUCCUAGUAUAAAUGUUUUGUGGUCUUAUUUCUUAUAGAUGAAGUGUGAAAAGGACAAAGUACACAUCCUAAACUGCACCCAAUUUGCUAUAUAGUGCACUACCCAUUGGUCUCUGGUGAAAAGUAGUGCCCUAACCAUUGGUCUCUGGUGAAAAGUAGUGCCCUACCCAUUGGUCUAUGGUGAAAAGUAGUGCCCUACCCAUUGGUCUCUGGUGAAAAGUAGUGCCCUACCCAUUGAUCUCUGGUGAAAAGUAGUGCCCUACCCAUUGGUCUCUGGUGAAAAGUAGUGCCCUGCCCAUUGAUCUCUGGUGAAACUGUGUUGGGAAUACAGUACCAUAUGAGACAAACAAAUAUACAGUGCCUUCAGAAAGUACUCAUACCCCCAGUUUUUUUCUCACCAAUCUACACACAAUAACUCAUAACGACAAAGUCAAAACCUGUUUUUAUAAAUGUUUGCAAAGUGUAUUGAAAAUUAAAUACAGAACUGUCUACUUCACAUAAGAAUUCACACCCCUGAGGCAAUACUUUGUAGAAGCACCUUUGGCAGUGAUUACAGCGUUGAGUCGUCUUGGGUAUGUCUGUAUCAGCUUUGAGUCAUCUUGGGUAUGUCUGUAUCAGCUUCGAGUCGUCUUGGGUAUGUCUGUAUCAGCUUUGAGUCGUCUUGGGUAUGUCUGUAUAAGCUUCGAGUCGUCUUGGGUAUGUCUGUAUCAGCUUUUAGUUGUCUUGGGUAUGUCUGUAUCAAAUUUGAGUCAUCUUGGGUAUGUCUGUAUCAGCUUUGAGUCAUAUUGGGUAUGUCUGUAUCAGCUUUGAGUCGUCUUGGGUAUGUCUGUAUCAGCUUUGAGUCAUCGUGGGUAUGUCUGUAUCAGCUUUGAGUCAUCUUGGGUAUGUCUGUAUCAGCUUUCAGUCAUCUUGGGUAUGUCUGUAUCAGCUUUGAGUCAUAUUGGGUAUGUCUGUAUCAGCUUUGAGUCGUCUUGGGUAUGUCUGUAUCAGCUUUGAGUCGUCUUGGGUAUGUCUGUAUCAGCUUUGAGUCGUCUUGGGUAUGUCUGUAUCAGCUUUGAGUCAUAUUGGGUAUGUCUGUAUCAGCUUUGAGUCGUCUUGGGUAUGUCUGUAUCAGCUUUGAGUCAUCUUGGGUAUGUCUGUAUCAGCUUUGAGUCAUCUUGGGUAUGUCUGUAUCAGCUUUCAGUCAUCUUGGGUAUGUCUGUAUCAGCUUUGAGUCAUAUUGGGUAUGUCUGUAUCAGCUUUGAGUCGUCUUGGGUAUGUCUGUAUCAGCUUUGAGUCAUAUUGGGUAUGUCUGUAUCAGCUUUAUACAUCUGGAUUUGGGGAUUUUCUCCCUUGCAGAUUUUCUCAAGCUCUGUUAAGUUAGAUGGGGAGUGGAGGUGAACAGCAAUCUUCAAGUCUUUCCACAGAUUGUCUACUAGAUUCAAGUCUGGGCUUUGGCUGGGCCACUCAAGGACUUUCACAUUCUUGUUCUGAAACCAUUCCAGUGUUGCUUUGGCUGUCUGCUUGGGGUCGUUGUCCUGUUGGAAUGCAAAUCUUUGCCCCAGUCUAAGGUCGUUUGCACUCUGAAGCAGGUUCUCAUCAAGGAUUUGCGUGUAUUUGGCUCCAGUCAUUGUUCCCCUCUAUCCCUUACCAGUCUCCCAGUCCCUGCCACGGAAAAGCAUCUCCAUAGCAUGAUUCUGCCACCACCAUGCUUCACAGUUCGAUGGUGUUAGAUGGGUAAUGAGUUGUGCCUGGUUUUCUCCAGACAUACCGCUUUGCGUUCAGUCCACAGAGUUACAUUUUUGUCUCAUCAGACCACAUAAUCUUUUGCCUUUCAGGUGCCUUUUUGCAAAUUAACUCCAGGCGUACUGUCAUGUGCCUUUUUCUCAGAAGUGGCUUCCCAUCUGGCCAUUCUCCCAUAAAGCCCAGACUGGUUGAAGUGGUGUCCUUUUGGUAGGUUCUCCCAUUUCAUCCGAAGGAAACUCUGUAGUUCUGUCAGAGUGGUCAAUGGGUUCUUGGUCACCUCCCUUGACCAAGGUCCAUCUUGCCCGGUUGUUUAGUUUGGUCAGACAGCCAGCUCUAGGCAGAGUCUGAGCAGUUCCAUAUUUUUGUUCCUUUCCCAAUGUUGGAGACAACUAUGCUCUUGGAAACUUUCAACACUCUAUUGUUGUUUUAUACCCUUCCCCGGAUAUAUGCCUCAUCACUAUUCUCUAUUGGAGAUCUAUGGACAGUUCCCUGGACUUCAUGAUAUAUGAUGUAGUUUCUGCUCUGACACGCACUGUCAACUGUGGACCUUAUAUAGACAAACGCGUUACUUUCCAAAUCAUGUACAAACAAUUGAAUUGGCUACAGGUGGGCUCCAAUCAAGUUGUAGUGACAUCUCAAGGAUGAUCAAAGGAAAUUGGAUG